UCCAGACUCCUACGGGAGGCAGCAGUGGGGAAUAUUGGGCAAUGGGCGCAAGCCUGACCCAGCAACGCCGCGUGAAGGAAGAAGGCUUUCGGGUUGUAAACUUCUUUUAAGAGGGAAGAGAAGAAGACGGUACCUCUUGAAUAAGCCACGGCUAACUACGUGCCAGCAGCCGCGGUAAUACGUAGGGGGCAAGCGUUAUCCGGAUUUACUGGGUGUAAAGGGAGCGUAGACGGCCAGACAAGUCUGAAGUGAACAUCCAGCGCUUAACGUUGGAAGUGCUUUGGAAACUGCCGGGCUGGAGUGCAGGAGGGGCAGGCGGAAUUCCUAGUGUAGCGGUGAAAUGCGUAGAUAUUAGGAGGAACACCAGUGGCGAAGGCGGCCUGCUGGACUGCAACUGACGUUGAGGCUCGAAGGCGUGGGGAGCAAACAGGAUUAGAUACCCCGGUAU
rnacentral:rRNA from 1 species